rnacentral:rRNA from 1 species
GUUGAUAUGUCAGUUAAAGCUAUAUACUCUGACCCUGCCAAGAGGCCUCUUUGUCUUCAGAAUGCCGAGCACCAAAGCUUCACUCAACCCAUUGAAGGUGUUCAAGCAGCAACACGAAUCUAUCCAUUGGCUGGAAAUACUCGUCUGCCUCAUCGAGCACCUACUGAAGCCACUGAAAGCACCAUUGCACAAAGGCCUCGGAAGCGUUCUCGCGUUCUCAAUGACCGAGAACUUCUUGUGGCCCUUCAUCAGAAACAUGAUAAGCAUCAUUUUUGGCUCAAGAGACAGAUGCAAAGCCUCUUGGUGGAUGUCAAUCGCAUUCGCAACCUUGCCACCAAGAAUGCCUUUGUUGCUCAUGAAACUUGCAGGCGAUCAUGGAAGAGUUUGACCCUGCUUAGUGCUGAAGCAGAUCUUCAAGAC